rnacentral:lncRNA from 1 species
GAAAAGCCCGCGGCACGCAGCGUGGCCGGCCAGGUGCACAGGCCCCAGUCCCUGGGGCCCGCAGGGAGCGCCGGGCCGCGAGCCCCUCCGGCCGGCCUGGGCGGCACCUACCUCCCAGCAGCAGCAGGACGCAGGCGUAGAGCAGCAUGGCUGCGGGCGGCGCCGUCGGGCAGGAGGGAGGCGGAGACGCGACGGCGCGGCCCGCGGCUGCCGCGGAGAAGUCUCGAGGGUCCCGCGCCCGCUCUCACCCUGCCUGGCCGCGGAGUUAGAAGCCGAGAGCCGAGCCGCGCACUCAUAGGUCCGAGGCCAGAAGAGGUGGAGACAGCGCGGCCAGCGCUCGCCCUGGCGCGCCCCCUGUGAGACCCCGGGCCCCGGUCUCCCCGAGGCUGCAGUGCACAAGAAGGGCUCCCCAAACUGUGUCCGCUAAGCCCAGCGGUGCCUGCCCAGCGCCGGGGCGCGCCCAGGCCAGGCCGCUCCCGGGACCCCUGAAGUUUCUGUCCGGGCCUUCCAGAUACUCCUGGAAAAGUCGCGUCAAGUUGGAGCCCGCAAGCCCAGGAGCGCAGCGAAAGGGGCCAGGCCAGGGCGCCCCGCAGCCGGCAGCCGCGCUCUGUAGUUAGCCGUCCCCAGCUUCGCCGCCCAGGCAAAGUGUGGAGCCAACGAGGGCGGGUUUCCUCCCCCACCCCCAACGCCUCCUCCUGCCACCACCCCGCAGUUCUCCUCAGGGUGAGUCAGCUUAGGGUGGCAGCUCCGAGGCCAGGCAGCUGCGAGGGGGAGGACGAACCGGAUGCCUCCAAACUGGUCCCUGCGGAUCCCACCCUGGCACCGGGCCUCCCUGGUGGCAUCCUGUUUGGCAGGCCAGCCUCGAAGAAAGAGGAUUACAUUUCAUGGCAUGGUCAGCUCCGCUCCAAGUCUGAAGAGCCAGUGGAAAUGCACAUGCCACAACAGCCUUACUCAGCAGAUCUUGAGAGUGUUGGGAAGCCUGAUUCUGUGGCAUCCUCUGCAUCUUAGCUAAGCCCCACAAGGGCACAGAGCUCAGGACAAUGUGUGAAGCUAGAAGGGACACUGGCGGGAGUGGUCUAGCACUCUGCAUUGCACAGCUGAGAAGACAGAAGCCCAGGGCAGCUGAGACAGCUACACCUACCUGAGUGGAGAAAUAUGAACUUCACUCCAAAAAAGUUAAAAAAAAAAAAAAAACCUCCAAAGAAAAUGGACAACAAAUGGUGUUUUAACAGGACUCUCCUUGAGUUACCAGGAGAUAAGAAUGGAAGAAGGAACUGAAGC